UACGUAGAGUGCGAGCGUUAAUCGGAAUUACUGGGCGUAAAGCGUGCGCAGGCGGUUUUGUAAGCCAGAUGGGAAAUCCCCGGGCUCAACCUGGGAAUGGCAUUUGGGACUGCAAGGCUGGAGUACGGCAGAGGAGACUGGAAUUCCUGGUGUAGCAGUGAAAUGCGUAGAUAUCAGGAGGAAUACCGAUGGCGAAGGCAGGUCUCUGGGCUGAUACUGACGCUCAUGCACGAAAGCGUGGGGAGCAAACAGG
rnacentral:rRNA from 1 species